UACGAAGGGAGCUAGCGUUGUUCGGAAUCACUGGGCGUAAAGCGCACGUAGGCGGAUGUGUCAGUCAGGGGGUGAAAUCCCGGGGGCUCAACCUCGGAACUGCCUUUGAUACAGCACGUCUUGAGUCCGGAAGAGGUGGGUGGAAUUCCUAGUGUAGAGGUGAAAUUCGUAGAUAUUAGGAAGAACACCGGUGGCGAAGGCGGCCCACUGGUCCGGUACUGACGCUGAUGUGCGAAAGCGUGGGGGAGCAAACAGGG
rnacentral:rRNA from 1 species